UAACGAAUAUUGGGCAAUGCACGCAAGUGUGACCCAGCGACGCCGCGUGUGGGAUGAAGUCCUUCGGGAUGUAAACCACUGUCAGGGGCAAGAAAGUUCUGAUCUGCCCCAGAGGAAGGCACGGCUAACUCUGUGCCAGCAGCCGCGGUAAGACAGAGGUGCCAAGCGUUAGGCGGAAUCACUGGGCUUAAAGCGUGUGUAGGCGGAUCGUUAAGUGCUUUGUGAAAUCCCACGGCUCAACCGUGGAACUGCUUGGCAUACUGGCGAUCUUGAGCUGCCUAGGGGUCACUGGAACAAACGGUGGAGCGGUGAAAUGCGUAGAUAUCGUUUGGAACGCCCAAGGUGAAAACAGGUGACUGGGGGCAAGCUGACGCUGAGACACGAAAGCCAGGGGAGCAAACG
rnacentral:rRNA from 1 species